rnacentral:tRNA from 1 species
GGUUGUGGCUCAGUGGUAAGGCACUUGCCUAGCAUGUGUGAAGCAUUGGGUUCAAUUCUCAGCACCA